ensembl:lncRNA
AUGGCACUCACCCCAUUUCCAUUUCAUUCCAUGGUCUGCAGAACCGAAAGCACAAAUAUCCACUUCCUCUUUUCGGUUCAUAUAAAUAGAAGAGCAACCCCUAGUUUUUCACUAAAACGACGAGGAGAAAAUAGUUCUUUUAAUUUACUCCAUUGUGUGCAACUUGCCCUAACCAUGUCUAUAAUGGACAGAGAUCUUGUUCUGGAGGCGCUCUCUACUCUCACAGGAAAAACUUUGAAGCCUCUCACUGGAUUAAAGGGAUCACUGAAUUCUGAUCUUGAACUCGAUAUAUACAAUUUUAUCACAGCUGCCGUAUUAAGCCAAGACAUCUUGAGAUUACUAGGUGUGAGAGAUGAUGUACUAAGCACUCUCAAGCACACAAGUUUGCGGAAAGAGAUGUUUGUGAACAUCGAUGAAUUCUUCGAGCCAAGCUUUGAUUGUGAUUUCAGAAAUUUAAGUGACAAGUCAAUAUGCAUGCGGGGUAAUGAGCAAUACAAACGCCCACGUGGAUGGUACCGUUUUGCUCUUAAAGUCCUGGACAAGUACCCUGAUGGAAACACCUGGCUGGGUACAGAUGGAUGGAGGAGUCACUCAGUGAUUGGCGAGUGGCCUGUCUCCUAUCAUGGAACCAGCAUUCAGGGUGCUACAGGUGUCGUCAAAUCUCAUUACAAAGCAGGUCCUAGACAACAGUAUGGGAGAGGAAUCUAUUCAACAUAUGACAUCGAUCAGGCUUCUGGCUACAGCAAGGAAUUUACAUCCAAAAAGAAUGGCAAAAGAUACAGAGUCCUGAUGCAGAACAGGAUCAAUCCAGAGAUGAGGAAAGUGUGUGCCAGAAAGGACUACUGGCUGAUUGAGGUUCCUGAGGGCACCUCUGCUGCUAAAGAGAAGGAGAUCGUGGAGAAGUCCAUUCGUCCUUAUGGGAUUCUGAUAAAGGAGGUGUGAGAGAAGAAUCAGAACCAGCUGACUGCCUCCACGUUAAUGUUACUCGGAUCGUCAUGAUGAUAAUUAUUAUUGUUGAUUUCUAUUGAAGACAUAUGGUGAAAAGAAUUGACUUGUUUUUGAUUUAUUGUGCUUUUUCUCAGCCAUAAAUGAAAUAGAUUAUGUAUCCCCAAUGGUAAAAACGGUUAUGAUAUAAAAUCAUAUCUCAUUUUUCAAGUUAUAAUGUAAGAGUUUAGUUUUCUUGAUUAAAUGUAAUAUCUAGACGGUAUGUAACACCCUCCAGGAAAAUUCUAAAUGUAGUUGAUAACUCGUUUUUAAUAACUGCUGUGUAACCUCAAAAGUGUAAAAACGUUUAAUUUGCUUCAUUGUGUAUAAUUGGAACUUGAUUUUUGUGUCCUUUUGAACUUGUCUAAAAUGAAACAUGUUUCCUAUAUUUUAACAAAAGUUUUAAAAAUAAAAGUGUUUUCUCACAGAAUGAGACUUUAUUC